rnacentral:rRNA from 1 species
UACGGGGGGGGCAAGCGUUGUUCGGAAUUACUGGGCGUAAAGGGCUCGUAGGCGGCCAACUAAGUCGGACGUGAAAUCCCUCGGCUUAACCGGGGAACUGCGUCCGAUACUGGAUGGCUCGAGUUUGGGAGAGGGAUGCGGAAUUCCAGGUGUAGCGGUGAAAUGCGUAGAUAUCAGGAGGAACACCAAUGGCGAAGGCAGCUCGCUGGGACGGUACUGACGCUGAGGCGCGAAAGCGUGGGGAGCGAACAGG